GACGAACGCUGGCGGCGUGCUUAACACAUGCAAGUCGAACGGGAUUUAGUAGACAGAAGCUUCGGUGGAAGAUUACUAAUGAGAGUGGCGAACGGGUGAGUAACGCGUGAGCAACCUGCCUAUGACAGUGGGAUAGCCUCGGGAAACCGGGAUUAAUACCGCAUAAAAUCGUAGAAACACAUGUUUCAACGGUCAAAGAUUUAUCGGUCAUAGAUGGGCUCGCGUCUGAUUAGCUAGUUGGUGAGAUAACAGCCCACCAAGGCGACGAUCAGUAGCCGGUCUGAGAGGAUGAACGGCCACAUUGGAACUGAGACACGGUCCAAACUCCUACGGGAGGCAGCAGUGGGGAAUAUUGCACAAUGGGGGAAACCCUGAUGCAGCGACGCCGCGUGAACGAAGAAGGUAUUCGUAUCGUAAAGUUCUGUCCUAUGGGAAGAUAAUGACAGUACCAUAGAAGAAAGCUCCGGCUAAAUACGUGCCAGCAGCCGCGGUAA
rnacentral:rRNA from 2 species